rnacentral:lncRNA from 1 species
UAACUUGUCUUGAAUCUGUUAGGAUCUUGCUUGUACUUAGAGAGUUAGCUUGCAAAGAAUAGAACUUGAUAAUGCCUUGUGUCUAUCUGUUGCAUUGCUUGUGAUAGUAGGAAUCAAACUUGAUAAGUUAUUAAUCAAGGUUUGACAUUAAUAAGAUUGAAAAUGGUUAAAUGCUUAAUGUCAGUUCUAAAUUAAAAUUGUCUUGUUAAGAUGAUAGAUUAUAUUAUCAUGCUUGCUGUUAUGAGUUAGAAACUGAUUAAGAUUAAUGCAUACUGCCUUGUAUUGUUGCAUUUAGAUUAAAGUCUAAGUUGCAUAUUAAGGAGUGUUUAAAAGUGCCUAAAUACUUUGACUUGAAUCUGAUAAGGUCUUGCU